AUUGAACGCUGGCGGCAGGCUUAACACAUGCAAGUCGAGCGAGCGGCGGCCGGGUGAGUAAUGUCUGGGCAACUGCCUGAUGGAGGGGGAUAACUACUGGAAACGGUAGCUAAUACCGCAUACUAUCAGCUGUGCCCAGAUGGGAUUAGCUAGUCGGUGGGGUAAUGGCUCACCUAGGCGACGAUCCCUAGCUGGUGUGAGAGGAUGACCGGCCACACUGGAACUGAGACACGGUCCAGCUUCCUACGGGAGGAAGCAGUGGGGAAUAUGGCACAAUGGGCACAAGCCUGAUGCAGCCAUGCGGCGUGUGUGAAGAAGGCCUUCGGGUUGUAAAGCACUUUCAGCGAGGAGGCGUUACUCGCAGAAGAAGCACCGGCUAACGCCGUGCCAGCCGCCGCGGUAAUUC
rnacentral:rRNA from 1 species